UGAGGAAUUUUGGACAAUGGGGGCAACCCUGAUCCAGCGACGCCGCGUGGAGGACGAAGGUCUUCGGAUUGUAAACUCCUUUUGUUCGGGACUAAGAAAUCUGUAGAAAUACGGAGAGUGAAUGUACCGGAUGAAUAAGCCACGGCUAACUUCGUGCCAGCAGCCGCGGUAAUACGAAGGUGGCAAGCGUUACUCGGAAUUACUAGGCGUAAAGGGCAGGUAGGUGGUCUGAUAAGUCUGUUGUGUAAGCUCCCGGCUUAACUGGGAGAGGUCAACGGAAACUAUCAGGCUUGAGUGUAGGAGAGGGUACUGGAAUUCCCGGUGUAGCGGUGAAAUGCGCAGAGAUCGGGAGGAACACCAAUGGCGAAAGCAGGUACCUGGACUAUUACUGACACUAAGCUGCGAAAGCUAGGGGAGCAAACAGG
rnacentral:rRNA from 1 species